AAAUAAAUUGAAUUGAAUUGAAUUCUUUAUUGAGACUUUUUUCUUUUUUUUUUAACAACAUUCGAAAGGUUAAUAUUAACCAUAUGAUAAUUAACAGAUGAUUCUUAGAACUAUAUCCGUCUUGUUCUAGUACACGGUAAUUGAAUAAGCAACUUGCUAAAAAUAUAAUUGACGAUUAUUCUAAAGUAUAUGUAUAGUGAGUAUUUUCAAUGCUUGCUCACGGCAUUUAAGUUAACAAACAGAGCCAAAGUCUGUACAAACAAAAACAUAACAUCAAAUAAAUAACACUUAAAACUAUAUAACAAAACGAAAUGUCAAAAGCAUUCUCGGAAUGACAAUAAUGGGUGAAAAACAUGAAGUAAACAUUCGCACCGAUAAUAAACAAGUAUGAAAUGUCCAACUAGCAGUUGUCGUCAAACAGUCUUCUCAAGUGAAUAUCACAUAUAAAUCAAUAUCACAGUCGGGAUUCAGCUAGCCCCUAUGGGAGCCUGGUGCGGUUCUGAGGAAAAAUUGCGAGUGAGAGAUGGCAUCGUGGUCAAGGUUAACAAUGCCAAUGGGAGACAGAUAAGUGAUUAUCAUGGAACUCAAGGUGCUCUACAAAACGUUUUUGUAAUGUUAGUGCGUAAGUACACAGCGGAGUUAUAUCCGAGUUUUCGUAGAUAUAUGAGUUGGAGAACCGUCUAGUUGGGUUCCGGAAAUUCUUACCGAGACAUUUUCUCAAUAUGGACCUCUCAAAGAUUUCCAGAUCUUUCGCUACCACAGGAGAGAUGGUGAACCAAAUGGGGAAAGCAUAUAUAUGCUCAAAAAUUUUACCAACAUUCGAUAAUAAUGAGAUGGGUCUGAAUUCCUCAAUCCGAGUGCUGUUGUUUUUCUUUUCAAUUGGAAUGAUUUUAGAGGUUUUCCACGCUUUAGGAAAGUAGCAAUUGUUCAGACAAUUGUUAAACAUACAUGACAAGAGCCUCAAAGAGCUGUCUGGUAAUUUUUUUAUUAAAAAGUUUGAAGGAUUUGUGAAAUGAUAACUGUCGUCGUUUCGAAUAGAGCCGAAGGAAAUAUCAAACGAAUAAAUAUGUCGGGGGCAAUCCGCAAUGUAUGAUGAAACUCGCUCAGAGAGGUCGGAAACGGGACACACAGAUUUCUGUUUUCAGGAGGUGUAAUAGAGUUCAUGGCAAUAUCUAUGUCACGCCUAAAGUUGUUCCAGUUCGUCUUUUUAUAUGAGGGGAAAUGGUCCGAGAAAGUUGGCAAACUAGUAAUCCUAAAGUUUGGAACCUCUCUGUUUACAAAAUGUGCACUCAGAAGAAAGUGGUCAGAAACGAGUCUCCAUUGGGG